AACAGACGACUUCUCGGCAAACGGGAUAUCUCGGCUCUCGCAUCGAUGAAGAACGUAGCGAAAUGCGAUACUUGGUGUGAAUUGCAAGAAUCCCCCGUGAACCAUCCGAGUCCUUUGAACGCAAGGUUGCGCCCCGAAAGCCAUUUAAGGCAAAGGGCACGCCUGCCUGGGCGUCUCACG
rnacentral:rRNA from 1 species